rnacentral:lncRNA from 1 species
UUAUUUAAAGUCACAAGAAAUAGAAAUAGACAGAAAAAUUCAGUAUUUAAAUCACAAAUUUAAUUUAGAAAAAAUACCUACAAAAUUAGAAAUUGAAAAGCUAAUAAAAACUAUAAUAGAAAAACCUAAAGAAUUAAAAGUAAAAACUACUCAAUUAAUAUCUAAACUUAUAGAACAAGUAGAAAAUAUAACAACAGAAAUCAAAGAUUUGCAAGAAAUAACAAAAAGAUUAGAAGAAAUAUCACUUUCAUGAGUGAAGAAGAUAUAAAUUAUAGUAAGGCACUAGAAAAAUCAAGAAGUUAUCAUAGCGAACCAGAAGGAUUAUCUAAGCAUAUACCUUCAAGUAUAACAGAUAAAUUUUUAUUAAAACAAAAUAAUACCAUGAUAGAGUUAUUAUUAGACUUACAUAAAAAGAUAGAUAUU